CGUAUGAGUUGGGUUCACUAUGAGCCGGCUAGUUUCUUUUUAUGUACUGACUGUUUCAUGGUUGCAUAAAAUUUAUACUUGUGUGAAAACUGUGAAUAUCCUUUUUGGCUGAAGUGUUAGCAUGUUGAUUCUAAAAAUCAUGAAUCUGUUUGGACCAGCUUUUGAAAUGGUUGCCAUUGAUCUGUCUUGUGUCUCUGUUUUCCUUUCCUUUGAACUGAAGAAUUGACUUGGUCCUGUUUCCAUGUUUUGUUCUAGCUGAUGAUCUAACGGCCUAGUUGUUAGUAACUUAGUAUCCUAUGAGUCAUAAGCUGCUAUAUCAAGUUUGAGCCUGCGGGCUUCUCUGUCGAGUGUCGAUGCAUAUAAAGCUGUGAUCAGGAAGCUCUUGUAAGAAGUAUUGGUUUAAACAGAGAAGUUGGCUGAUGAUACCAAUCUGUGGUAAUACUAAGUUUGAUUGAUCAAGUUACUGCCAAAAAGUCAUUGCAAUGUUGCUGGUGCUGUGAAGAAUACUUGUCAGAAUAAUUUGGUUGCUAGGAACAUCCACUUUAUUGUUUUUUUCUGCCAACAAGACUCAGCAUACGUUGCUGUUGUUGCUGACCAGGCACCCUGUGCAUUCUAGACGCGUUUCUUUGUUCCUGCAUGCAGCAAGAAACAGGUGAUCGGGAACAAGAAAAAAUGUUUGAAGUUGAUCGCUGGAACCUACCUUGCAGCCGAAAAUAGAUAUGUAGUCAAUACUGACCUGCGGCUCCGACGAUGGUCACCAGGGGGAUGAUGCAUCAGGCAGCAAUACAACAGUAAUCUGACAAGCAGAAUUCGGGCAGAGUUGGUGAUCACUGUGUGAUGAGAGUCUGGGACAGGACUGUCUCCGUCUCCGGCCAACACCAGGAAGCGCUUCUGUUGGCGGCACGUGUACAGUCGGCAUAUGCCAAUUUCUUGAACUGAAGAAUCGACUUUGCCUUUUAUCCAGGUCUUCUUUUUAUUCUUGAGUGAUUAUCUAGUUUUGUUCUAGCUGAGGAUGAAAAUGUGGCUGAUUAUCAUCUCAAUUCGGCCACUUGCUAUACUUUCACCUGAUUGUAAGAAGUGCUUGGAGGACUACCCGUUAGAAUGAUUGCAUUGUAGUCCACUUUUUUUCAGUAAAAUGUCUUGGUGCAACUCAUUCCAUCUAGUUCGGUUCUGAAAA